UGGAAACAGCACACUUCUUCCAUGAUAGCAACGAAAUGAGCACUAGCUGACAACUGAUUCUGAAGAAACCGAGCCUGCCACAUCCCCUCUGCUUCCCAGCGUGCCUAUCAGGAAGUUUUUUUCUCGUGGCUCAGAUGAUCCUGCUGGGAACUACGCUAUUCUAUAAAUCCACCUCUGCAGCCUACUGAGAGGGCAAGCUGUGUCUCGGGAACAUGGGAAGGCAUUUCAAAGGUGUAGAGUUGAGAUAAAAUUAAGGCAGAUGCCUUUCUUAUAGGAGUGCCAGAGUCAACAGCCAGCCAAACAUUCAAGUCUUAGCCAUGAUUUAAAAAAAAAAAACAAUUAAGAGGUUCUUCUCUGAAAAGAAGGGUUAGGGAAGCUGCCAUCAAUUGCACACAUGGUGGACUCUGGAGAGUGAUGGUUUAGUAAACUCAGAGAAAGAAAGAACUCAGUACAAAUAAAGUCUUAGCCAUGACAGAGUGUAGGGGGUAGGUCCCAGACAUUCAUAGAACGAAAAGCCAAAUAAUUAUACAGAGGUGUUAGCAUUCACUAUACAGUGUGCUCUCUGUACCAGAAACUAAUAAUGCGUAUGGGAACUCCACUGUCUGUGGACGGCCUUUGACAGAACUUUAAUCAUGUGCUAAGUGACACGGGAGUCAUGGCCAGGUUGUUGAUUGCUGCUAUCUUUAUUUUCUCAGCGACUCUGCCAUUGGGGCUCAGAUGUAACAAAGGCAGGCACUGAGUUACAUUCUAACACACAUGCUUUAAAAGACUCCGUGAUCUGGGGAAUAAAACUGAUGCCUGAAUAUCACAACAGCUUACAUAAUAGGGAAUAUUGACCCAUGGAGACAGAAGACAAAUUUAGAGACAGUCGUAGGAAAAUAAGCCUCAAACGGGAGAUGAUGAGGCCAGAAGUUGAGCGCAGUGUGGUCAACUCAAAGUGUGUGCAGGCUCUGUGCACACUGGUGCGUUGCCGGGAGUCAGUUCACUAGACAUGAAGGAGCUGGUGGCUCAGCAUGGAUCCUGGCUUGACUGCGAGGUAGUCUAUCAUGCAGCAGUAAAUUGAAAGGGUGCCUGGCUAUUUCAAUUCAUACAUCCAAGAGGUACAGAGGCAUGAAGUGAAUCCUCAAGCUGUGUUUGAUGCCAGAGGAGUUCUGGUUGGAGAAACGUAACUGGAGCCCUGGGGUGUAUGUGUGUUUGUGUGUGUGUGUGUGUGUGUGUGUGUGUGUGUGUGUGUAGAAGCUGGAAUUUGAUGCUCUUCAGGCCAUGGCCCAAAUUUGAUUCCCAAUUAGGCUGAACUAUCCUGGUUUGAUUUUAAUGCCUCUGAAAACACAUGAGUGAAUUACCCAGAAAACAGUCACCAAAGUGACCAACAAGACAAAAUUAUGUCUGCUCAGGGCUAAUAAUUAAAGUUACUAUGAGACAUAUCUGAGUGGAGCGCUUUAGCAAUCCAGUGCAUAAAGGGUUCUGACAAGAAAGCCCUGUCCUCUGUCUUAUGAGUGUACAGGAGCAUGUAUGUACACAUACACACACACACACACACACACGUGGACACACAUGGACACACAUGUACACAGAUACACAUAUGUGCACACACAGACACAGACACAGAUGUGUGUGUACACAUAUGCAUACAUGCAUAUAAAUGUAUGCCCCCACAGACACAUACACACACACACGUGCAUGCACAUACAUCAAAGAGGAAUAGAGAACUAUUAAGUAAUGUCUGGACAACAAAGACAACAGAACUUUUAGCAAACCAUCAUUAAAAGCUCUGUGAUUUCUGUCCCAGGAGCACAGUGAAGAAACCCCAAAAGGUGCUUUCCACAGCCUGCGAGUCCCAUUAAAACACACAAAUGGUCUUUUAGGGAACUAUUGACAAAUGUCCUUAAGUACAACCAUUCUUCAUAAAUUUCCAUUUUGUGGAGACAAGGAUUUCACACGUCAGUGUAAAUGGAAAAAGUAGAAAAGCAGCCCGGAGAGAAGGAAGAGCAGGAGCAGGACCUCUCAGUGUGUCAGGAUAUGUAGGAGGAUGUGCGGGAGGGCGUGAUGACCGUAAUAAGAAAGAGAGGAAGGAAGCUGUCAUCUGUCUUAGAAGCGAGCUUGCUGGGCAGAGAAGUGGAGUCUAGGAACUCUGUGUGUUCUCUCAGCUAUGAAUCUACUGCUUCAGGACGGGAGAGGAGCAGCCUCCACCUCUCGUUCUUCAAUGCCUUGCACAUACUUGAGGGCGGCAACCUGAGCUGCUUCUUUUCCUGAAAGUGGUAUCUUUGGAACCAGUGGCCACCUUAGAUGAUGAAACUAUAGGUGGAUGUUGUGGCAUGAAGACUAACGGAUUCUCUAGAUGACGUGGCUGGGAAAACUGACCCCAAAAUUCCUCUUCCCAAGAAAUCCUAGAGACAGUGUAAGCAGGUGUUGGUGUGUUUCCACCAGUCACAUGUCAGUGAUCAAGGAGGCAAGAGAGUACUGGAAGCCAAGAGGGGUCUUGGUGCCUUCUGAUGACAAAGCAAAGAAAGAGAGUCACAAGGACUUCCUCGGAUCAUGAGAAGCUCAUGGAUCCCAAAUGGCCCAGUCAGAGUAAAGAAUGACUCUGGCUUCAUGUUUGAGGUGCCCGUCUUUUGUAUUUGCCCAACAGAUCUCGUUUUAAGACCAUACUACAGCACCUCUGACGUUUCCCCAGGCGACCCACGUUUUUCUCCUCUUCAGUCCGUGUGCGUUGUAGGGCUGACUACGUCGUCCGUUUCCACAGAUGAAUGUGUGGCUCGUGUCCGGGUAACCAGAAUAUUUCAUUAUGACAUAACUCAAGACAAGCCAAUGGAAAGAUCCACCUUUCCUACCGCCUGAGGUGAACCUGUCUGAAGAUGAAGUCGGUGUGACGAAGAGCCAGCCAGGAGAUGAGACGGAGAGCAGAAGGAGGCACUGGCUGGCUUUCGGAAGCCACUGGUGCCUGAAGCAAGGUCAAUUAUGAGGUCUGAGGUUUGCUUGCCUUUCCCUGAAGUCAAAACUCUCCUGGGAAUCCAGUUUCCUACCCCUGCUUAUUCCCUGACAUUAAACUUUUAUUUGUAUAGAUAAGAAAA